CAGCAGUGAGGAAUAUUGGUCAAUGGCCGGAAGGCUGAACCAGCCAUGCCGCGUGAAGGUCAGUGCCCUAUGGGCGUUAAACUUCUUUUGUGCGGGAGCAAUAAUGGUCACGUGUGGCCAGACGAGAGUACCGUACGAAUAAGCAUCGGCUAACUCCGUGCCAGCAGCCGCGGUAAUACGGGGGAUGCAAGCGUUAUCCGGAUUUAUUGGGUUUAAAGGGUGCGUAGGCUGUGAGGUAAGUCAGCGGUGAAAUGCCCCCGCUCAACGGGGUGAAGUGCCAUUGAUACUGCCUUGCUGGAAUGCGGAUGCCGUGGGAGGAAUGUGUGGUGUAGCGGUGAAAUGCAUAGAUAUCACACAGAACACCGAUUGCGAAGGCAUCUCACGAAUCCGCGAUUGACGCUGAUGCACGAAAGCGUGGGUAUCAAACAGGAUUAGA
rnacentral:rRNA from 1 species